UUUCAAUUUAUUUCAUGUCAUUGUAGACCAUUACAUGUGAGUCCAUACAAGAAAAUACAAGAAAAUACAAAUUUUGACAUUUUGACCAACUGUUGACUUUGGUCAAUAGUUGACUUUUUGGUCAACUUUGACCAAAGUCAACCCAAAUCCAUUAAACCUUAAAUUCACCCAUAAUUGUCCAUUGAAUAUCCAUUUACAAAGAAGAUCAUAAUUGACACCGACCCUGGAAU
rnacentral:lncRNA from 1 species